rnacentral:misc_RNA from 1 species
GUGUGCUCACUCCACUUCAGUGUUCGCUGCUUCCGGUUCCAGAGACCACGUGGCUGCAGCGUGGGCUAUAGCAAGCGUCUAAGAAGGGAUGCAGUGCCAACACUGUACCCAAUUGAACAGCAGUGCAGUUCAGUGCCCAAGGAGAGUUUUCUUGAUGACACUGCAGAACGUUUGUCUUCCUCUGACGUCGAAGAUGCAGAAGCGAGGGCACACAAUUCAUUGGCUUCCAGCCGGUCAGUUGCAGGACAAGAUAGAGGACACCAUGCAAGCGACCAGGACGCAGUGCAGAGGUUGGCACGUCUUGCAGCAUUCGAGAUAUUCUUGCUCAAGGACAUCUCCACCCAGUGUAGCGUGGAAAUGGCCUCAAAGGCUGCCAGCUGUGUUGUCAGAACUGUGUCCAAGUCGGUGCAGUGCAGUGGGUGAAUGGUGUUCCUUUUCAGAGAUACUUUAAACGAAGAGCAGAAGACCUUAGCAGUGUGUGUGUGUGCAGUGCUUAAUCCACUGACCCAAGUGCCUGUGAAGUUCUGCUGCUGUGGGAAUCAAGGUUGCGGGUUUGAUUCCUGGCCGUGACAACUGCAUUCUGCUGGGGAGGACAAAGCUAGAAAGCGCAUUCAUCAUAUUGUCAUGCUGGCAAUAAACCAAGUGAUUGAAUGUU